UUCUUCUUCUAUAUUACCAGCAACAAAAGUGAAUUCCACUGUUAAAAACAUGAAGCACCACAGGAGGUCCUUAAAAAAAUAUUUAAUACCAAUAAAAUACCCAGAAUACUAUAAAGGACUGGUAGUAAAUGUUAAUGUUCACUGAGAUAAUGUGUUUAUGGUUUAAGAAUAGAGUUCAGCUGAGUUAGAAGGAUUGUUGUUUAAGUAACCGAGUUUUCCAGAAGGCCAGUGAACAUGUCAGUGUUUGGGCACGUGACACUGUUGGACAUUUCCAGCUACUAAUGGCUGCGGGUUCGGGGCUAUGGCGUGCUUCUCAUUGCCUGGGAGACAGAGGUUGUCCUCUGACCACAGGGGGGAUCCUGUGUCGCCGUCGCGCUGUUCUCUCUCGGUUCCGGAUCAUCCGUGUCUCGUCCUCACCACGGUCCCGCUGCGGCCACUGGGGCGCCCGUGUUGUUUUUCUGCUUGGGGGAGAGAACUGCAGGAUGUUGUUCACCUGUGGAACACUCACAGAAUUCGCCCAUGCAGAAAUGCGGUGUCCCCAGGAGGACGUCCGGUGAUGAUGUACACCCUACCCCAACUAUUUGGUGCUAGGGAGUACCUUAAAGAGGUAUCCCAACAGAAGAUACAGGCAUGCAGGGAGGAAUGCCUACAGGGAGGGCCGUAUCCCUGUGAUAAUACUGUGUUUGAAAUUGGUUGCCUUGUCAUGGCAGAAAACAGUCUUCAUCCACCCACCUCUCCAGAGGAAGCCAUUGAGCUUUACAGGUUUUUACGGGCUUACAUAUAUGCCCAUAUUUAAUAAUCACAAGUUGUUCUACUGGAUCAGAUGAUUGAAUGUGAGCACCCAUCCUCAGCAACAUAACACUGUAUUUGCAGUUUUUCUAUGGGUGGAAAAUGUUAUGUUGACUGCGAAUUUCAGUUUAAAUGAUUGACAGAUGUAUUGUCUCUAAGUAAUGAAUAGCAAUGAACUCUAAACUAAUUGACAUCUCCCCUCUGAGCUUCAUAUCAUCUCUUUUCAUUCAUCAUUAUGGAAAAAUGAUACAUCUCAACAAGGUAACUGGGGCAGUCCUGAAAAUAAACGUCUCACAUUUUG